UACGUAGGGCGCAAGCGUUAUCCGGAAUUAUUGGGCGUAAAGAGCUCGUAGGCGGUUUGUCGCGUCUGCCGUGAAAGUCCGGGGCUCAACUCCGGAUCUGCGGUGGGUACGGGCAGACUAGAGUGAUGUAGGGGAGACUGGAAUUCCUGGUGUAGCGGUGAAAUGCGCAGAUAUCAGGAGGAACACCGAUGGCGAAGGCAGGUCUCUGGGCAUUAACUGACGCUGAGGAGCGGAAGCUAGGGGAGCGAACGGG
rnacentral:rRNA from 1 species